GCCGAUGUAACUCAGUUGGCAGAGUGCUUUACUCGUAAUAAAGAAGUCGUAGGUUCGAAUCCUAUCAUCGGCACCA
rnacentral:tRNA from 1 species